UACAUGAAGGAAUAGGCAGAUAAAG
rnacentral:piRNA from 1 species